rnacentral:rRNA from 1 species
UAGGGAAUAUUGCGCAAUGGGGGAAACCCUGACGCAGCGACGCCGCGUGAGUGAUGAAGGCCUUCGGGUCGUAAAGCUCUGUCGUAUGGGACUAACAAAAUGAAGGUACCAUGCAAGAAAGGAUCGGCUAACUUCGUGCCAGCAGCCGCGGUAAGACGAGGGAUCCUAGCGUUGUUCGGAAUUAUUGGGCGUCAAGCGGGUGUAGGCGGACUUAUAAGUCAGGUGUGAAAUCACAGGGCUCAACCCUGGAAGUGCACUUGAUAAUGUAAGUCUUGAAUGUGGUAGAGGUUACUGGAAUUGCUGGUGUAGUGGUGAAAUACGUAGAUAUCAGCAGCAACACCGGAGACGAGGGCGGGUAACUGGGCCAACAUUGACGCUGAGAUGCGAAAGCGUGGGGAUCAAACA